GAGAAGAACGCAGCGAAAUGCGAUAAGUAAUGUGAAUUGCAGAAUUCAGUGAAUCAUCGAAUCUUUGAACGCACAUUGCGCCCCUUGGUAUUCCGAGGGGCAUGCCUGUUCGAGCGUCAUUAUAACCCCUCAAGCUCAGCUUGGUGUUGGGGCCUGCUGCACUGGCAGCCCUUAAAAUCAGUGGCGGCGCCAUCCGGCUCUAAGCGUAGUAAUUCUUCUCGCUAUGGAGUCCUGGUGGAUGCUUGCCAUCAACCCCCAAUUUUUCUAUGGUUGACCUCGGAUCAGGUAGGGAUACCCGCUGAACUUAAGCAUAUCAAUAAGCGGAGGA
rnacentral:misc_RNA from 1 species